rnacentral:rRNA from 1 species
GACAGAGGGUGCAAACGUUGUUCGGAAUUACUGGGCGUAAAGCGCGUGAUAGGCGGUUAGGCAAGUCGGAUUGUGAAAUCCCCGUGGCUCAACUACGGAAGUGCACCCGAAACUGCUUAACUUGAGUCCCGGAGAGGAAGGCGGAAUGCUUGGUUGUAGAGGUGAAAUUCGUAGAUAUCAAAGCGGGAACCACCGGUGGGCGAAGGCGGCCUUCUGGACGAGGACUGGACCGCUGAGACGCGAAAGCC